rnacentral:rRNA from 1 species
UGUGCGGGGGUGCCUAUACAUGCAAGUCGAACGCUUUGUGGUUCAACUGAUUUGAAGAGCUUGCUCAGAUAUGACGAUGGACAUUGCAAAGAGUGGCGAACGGGUGAGUAACACGUGGGAAACCUACCUCUUAGCAGGGGAUAACAUUUGGAAACAGAUGCUAAUACCGUAUAACAAUGACAACCGCAUGGUUGUUAUUUAAAAGAUGGUUCUGCUAUCACUAAGAGAUGGUCCCGCGGUGCAUUAGCUAGUUGGUAAGGUAAUGGCUUACCAAGGCGAUGAUGCAUAGCCGAGUUGAGAGACUGAUCGGCCACAAUGGGACUGAGACACGGCCCAUACUCCUACGGGAGGCAGCAGUAGGGAAUCUUCCACAAUGGGCGAAAGCCUGAUGGAGCAACGCCGCGUGUGUGAUGAAGGGUUUCGGCUCGUAAAACACUGUUGUAAGAGAAGAAUGACAUUGAGAGUAACUGUUCAAUGUGUGACGGUAUCUUACCAGAAAGGAACGGCUAAAUACGUGCCAGCAGCCGCGGUAAUACGUAUGUUCCAAGCGUUAUCCGGAUUUAUUGGGCGUAAAGCGAGCGCAGACGGUUAUUUAAGUCUGAAGUGAAAGCCCUCAGCUCAACUGAGGAAUUGCUUUGGAAACUGGAUGACUUGAGUGCAGUAGAGGAAAGUGGAACUCCAUGUGUAGCGGUGAAAUGCGUAGAUAUAUGGAAGAACACCAGUGGCGAAGGCGGCUUUCUGGACUGUAACUGACGUUGAGGCUCGAAAGUGUGGGUAGCAAACAGGAUUAGAUACCCUGGUAGUCCACACCGUAAACGAUGAGUGCUAGGUGUUUGAGGGUUUCCGCCCUUAAGUGCCGCAGCUAACGCAUUAAGCACUCCGCCUGGGGAGUACGACCGCAAGGUUGAAACUCAAAGGAAUUGACGGGGACCCGCACAAGCGGUGGAGCAUGUGGUUUAAUUCGAAGCAACGCGAAGAACCUUACCAGGUCUUGACAUCCCUUGACAACUCCAGAGAUGGAGCGUUCCCUUCGGGGACAAGGUGACAGGUGGUGCAUGGUUGUCGUCAGCUCGUGUCGUGAGAUGUUGGGUUAAGUCCCGCAACGAGCGCAACCCUUAUUACUAGUUGCCAGCAUUCAGUUGGGCACUCUAGUGAGACUGCCGGUGACAAACCGGAGGAAGGUGGGGAUGACGUCAAAUCAUCAUGCCCCUUAUGACCUGGGCUACACACGUGCUACAAUGGCGUAUACAACGAGUUGCCAACCCGCGAGGGUGAGCUAAUCUCUUAAAGUACGUCUCAGUUCGGAUUGUAGGCUGCAACUCGCCUACAUGAAGUCGGAAUCGCUAGUAAUCGCGGAUCAGCACGCCGCGGUGAAUACGUUCCCGGGUCUUGUACACACCGCCCGUCACACCAUGAGAGUUUGUAACACCCAAAGCCGGUGGGGUAACCUUCGGGAGCCAGCCGUCUAAGGUGACAGAAUUA